GAUGAAGAACGUAGCGAAAUGCGAUAAGUAAUGUGAAUUGCAGAAUUCAGUGAAUCAUCGAAUCUUUGAACGCACAUUGCGCCCGCCAGUAUUCUGGCGGGCAUGCCUGUUCGAGCGUCAUUUCAACCCUCAAGCCCCAGCGGCCUGGUGUUGGGGACCGGCGACCUCGCCCGAGCCCGCCCUCCGGGGCGCGUGCCCGGUGCGUCCGCCGCCCCCGAAAUGAAUUGGCGGCCUCGUCGCGGCCUCCUCUGCGUAGUAGCACAACCUCGCAAGCGGGAGCGCGACGCGGCCACUGCCGUAAAACGCCCAACUUUUUUAGAGUUGACCUCGGAUCAGGUAGGAAUACCCGCUGAACUUAACCAUAUCAAUAAGCGGAGGA
rnacentral:misc_RNA from 1 species